GAACAGUGGAAAAAUAAGAAUGAACAAGUAUAGGGGAGUAUGAUGAGGGAGAUAAGGUGAAAAAAGUGGAUGGGUGGUUGUUUCUGGUGACGAACCUGGCCUCGUUUGAUCCUCAUGCAGAAGACAAAAUUGAAACUUUUUGUGUGAUUGUAUUUUUUCAACUUUGAAAUUUUUAUGAAUUAUGAAUUUUGCCAAUGUUAUGAAUAUGUAUUACAGUAUUAUGUGUGCAUUUUAUGAAAAAAAAAUAUACAGCUUGAAUUUUA